CUGAGGUGCUGCUGUAUCCUUUAGUGCGCAACAGCUGUGGGAAAAGUCAAAUUAAAUGCUAGGGAUCGUCCGGAGAGGAACUGAAAACCAAACUGGCAGCUGUCAUAAUGCCACCAUAAUAAUUUAUGGUGGGGUAAUGCGUGCAGUUUUGGUCGCCUUGUCCUCAAAAGGGAUAUUUUAGGAUUUGGAAAGGUUCAGAACAGGGCAACCAAAAUUGGAUGGAGUGGCUCCCCUGUGAGGAAUGGUCGCAGCUUUUAGGAGUUUCUUAGUUUAGAGGAUAGGCGAGAAAGAGGCAACGUGAUAGAAGUUCUAUAAAACUCCGCUUGGCAUGGAUGGAGAGAAGUUAUUUCUCCCUGUCUCAUGACACUGGAAGUCACGGGCAUCCUAGGAAAGUUCGGGGCAGACGAAAAGUACGCAGCGCAUGGUGAAAUUAUGGAACUGGAGAGCAGUGAUGGGUCACGGGGAUGGCUUUAAAAGUGGAUUAGACCCAUUUAUGGAGGAGAACUAGGCUGUUGAUGGCAACUAGCCAUCAAGGAGGCUGUGCUCUUCACGGUUGGAGGCAGCACUUUCUGGAAAACGCCGGAGGGGAGAGCGACUCCUGUGUUCGAAUCCUGCUUGCGUCUUUCCCUUCUGGGGUAUCUGGUCGGCCACCAUGAGGACAGGAGGCUAGGCUACAUGGGCGCCCUUUAGCCUGAUCCAAAGUGAGGCCAAAAUUCAGAA